AUGUGGCAUGAAGCACCAUGUUCAAGUAGGGAUUACAGCGGGGUGCGGGAGAGUGGACCGCGUAAAAUAGAUGAGGAUGGUGAUGAUGACGGCGAUGUUGAUGAAGACGAUCACCGCGACGAUGAUUCCCCUCCCGGUGGCACACCGACGCCACCGAGAGAGAGAGAGAGGAGGAGCGGUUCUCCCCCUUUUGCUUCCUCCUCCAUGGCCUCCCCCCUAGAUGGGGAGAGGUUCUCCCUCUGGUCCUUGGCCUUCAUGGCGAUGAUGGCUCCUCCGGGAUCCUCCUCCAUGGCCUCCGGUGAUGAUGGCCCCCUCCGGCAAGGUGCCCGAGAGGGCCUAGAUUGA
rnacentral:rRNA from 1 species